rnacentral:rRNA from 1 species
AUUGAACGCUGGCGGCAGGCCUAACACAUGCAAGUCGAGCGAGCGGCGGACGGGUGAGUAAUGUAUGGGGACUGCCCGAUAGAGGGGGAUCACUACUGGAAACGGUAGCUAAUACCGCAUACUAUCGGAUAACCCAUAUGGGAUUAGCUAGUAGGUGAGGUAAUGGCUCACCUAGGCGACGAUCCCUAGCUGAUCUGAGAGGAUGAUCAGCAACACUGGGACGGAGACACGGCCCAGAAUCCUACGGAGGCAGCAGUGGGGAAUAUUGAACAAUGGGCGCAAGCCUGAUGCAGCAACGCCGCGUGAAUGAAGAAGGCCCUAGGGUUGUAAAGUACUUUCAGUCGGGAGGCGUUACCGACAGAAGAAGCACCGGCUAACUCCGUGCCAGCAGCCGCGGUAAUAC